AGUUAGUUUUACAUUUACUAUUAGGGUGGGGGAUGGCUGCCUGGUUUCUUUGGUUCUGGUCACUGUUUCUUUUCCUUUUUGCUGAAGGACUGGAGAAGCAGUUGUCUCUGGUUAUCAAGAGGCAUCAGUUCCUGUGAUUCCACUUUGACAGCCAGGGACUGCGUGAAUGUGACGUUAAAAAGCACGUUGUCCUCAAAGAGGGAAGUGCUACUAUAACAACUGCAAGAACUCACUGUUUCAGCUGAUGGACCCUUUCCUUGCAUGUAGAUGAGCAAAUUGGAUCAGGUAAAAAAGCAUUUCAGUUUCAAUUAACCAGGUAGGCUUGAUAUGCAUUUGCUGAUGGUUGCAAUUGCUCUCUGCUGUGGUACUCUGCUGAAUUAGGAACUUCUGUAUUGCUUAUGUUGCAGCAAGGAUUUCAGUGGUGAGGAAUCCCAGCACCCUUGCCCUCCACCAGUACCCACUGGAAUUUUGUCUUUGGAUAUUAGGAUGCUUCGUAUGCAGGCAUGAAGUUUUCAGGGCAAGGAUCCAUCACAAGCUUCCAACUAUGUUUUGCAAGCCUGGGUGGACCUCUGAAGACAUGCAUGCCCUUCUGUGCUGUUUUCUAAGUGUGCUGAAGCUAGCAGUCCCCUGGAAUGAAACUUAUCCAGACACAGCAAAACUUGGCAAACGUCCGAGUGGAGCCUAUGAAGGGUGUCUCGCUCAUCACGUUCCUCCUGUCCUGUGUGGCUUAGCAGAAACCCCUGCCUUCCUGAUGGCAAAGCAGUUGUCUGCACUGCAAUGGGAGGACUGCGGGACCUGGCCUCCCAGUCUGCCUCUUUGCAUGUUGUUUCUCAGUGGGAAAACCACGUGGGCAGCCAAGCCCUAGCACCAAGCAGGAGGCUGGGCUCUUUGGCCUUUUGAUUUAUUUAUGUUUAAAAUGUGUAGUUUAUAUCAACUGUUGUGUGAAGGUUAGUGAGGAGCUAUGCCAGGCCAGUGCUUCAGCCCUGCAAAGCUCCCCUGAAUGGUCUGCUCUCCCAUCUUGCUUGCUGAAGAUUAAAGAGACAAAAUUUUACUUAAAGGUAUAUGGCAGCAGCCAUUCACUACAGCUUUACCCUCCUGAUCUGGGCCCCUUUUCCUUACACAGCCAUCCUCUCCUAACUAUAUACCACCCCUUCAGCAGAAGGCCUUAACAUCAGUGCUGUGGAACAAGGUGGUUUUGGUUUUGUGUGUGUGUAUUUCUAUUAAUAGGUGCCUUUACUUUGGUAGAAGAAUUGGAGCCCCUCUGUAGCCUUUUCCAUCAGCCUGUGGAUGUUUCAGGAAUGUCCAUCGCAGGCAUACCCUGCUGCUGGGAAACAUCAGCUCUGCCUUCAUGAAGCAAGUCAGAUGCCUGGGACCACUGAGCAACUUUUACUGUAGCUGCCUCUUGGGAAAGCUGCUGCUCUUCUGCCCUUUGCUGUGCACCCAGGGAAUCCCCAGUGUUGUGCCCAUGGCAAUCAACACCAGCACAAAUGAGAAAUUCAGAAGAUGAAGACUGAAAAUCACCACCUGCUAAACAAGGAGAGGCAACUGCUCUCAUCCCAGGCAGCACUUACAUGCAAAAAGCCUGAAGCUGUGCCCUCAGUUGGUGAACCCCUGUCCAGUGAUGUCUCCAGAGCCAGAGCUGACCCACUCCAGGAGGCUGGUUGGAGGCACGUUUGUCGGUAAGCAACCCUGCACGGUUACCCCAUGCUGCAACACCCUGCAGCCACAAACCAGCGUGCAGCAGCACCCUGGGCUCCUAGCACUAUGCACGCCCUACCUGAGGGCAUGAGAGGUGCUCCACCUUCCCUCUACACACACACACACACACACACACACAACUUUGGCUGCAAAAGCCCUCCCUGCCAAAGCGAUACACAUCUCUUCUUCCAGCUGAGAAAAUAUCACCAGGUAUUUUGCAGGGAGUACACGCUGCAGCCAGGAACUCCCACAGCAGCACCUGGCUGGAGCACCGGCAGCCGGCUCUGGGCUCCCACGCCACCACAGCAGCCAGCUCAGCCAGUCUGGGUGGGGAGCCCGGCACCCCGCCAGGACCGACCCGCCUGCGGCACCCAGCACCCCACUGUGCACCUGCGUGGCUCUGCAGGGUGCUGCACGAAGGGGGGGGAUCUCCCCUGGGGCUCCCCACAGGCUGUUGGCUCUGGCUUGGUUUGCUGCUGCAUGUUGUAAAAACUCGCCCUGCUCGUUUGGCCCACAAGCAGUUCUGCCCCAGGGGAGGCCAAAUGUGAGAGCAGCCCCCAGCACUGGGCAGGCACCCACCAUGGUUCAGGGAUGUGCCAUGGAGAGAGAUUGCAGCUCCAAAGGAGAAGCUGGAGAGGAUGACACCCACCUUGACUUGCAGGUGGGGUGGAUGCCGUGCUGGCAGCCAUUGGCAAUGCCUGUGCAGGAUCUGUCACCAGGGCCAUGUUCUGCCCAUGCAGGCUCUCUGCUUGGCAGCGAGGUGCCCCCAUUGCUCACCCCUACCCUGGCCUCCAGGUCCCAGCCCAGCUUUCUCAGCUGAGGUGGCCUGCAAGGAGAUCUGGGGGAAGAGUGCCCAAACCACUCAUUUGCACACAAAGGUGUGAGCUGGAUGGCCAGUUCUCAAGUGUGGACAAGUGUUUGUCGUGUGUUUCUUUUCAGUCUGAGCAUUUUCAAGCACUUUCCUUGGCCAUCUCCAGCCUUUACCUGCACUUUUCUUCCCACCAUCAGCAGCUGCAACAUGAAGCUGGGCAGGAACAGGUCUGAAAGGGAAAAUGUUGUUUCCUUGCAAAAGAUUUUUCAGCUGUCCUAGGGCAGUGAACUCUGGCAAGGUGUUUUGCAGUUUUCUAGGAGUGCUUCUGGUUUCCUUAAGUUUUUCCUGAGCUUCCUAGACUGUGUCCCUGGGAAUAUACAGCUUCUUUCUAUUUUCUUCUUGAGGUUUUUUUUCUUUGUUGGCUGGUUUGGUGUGUUUUGUUUUGUUUGUUUUUAGUUUUGUUUUGCUUUCUCAAACUCCUCUGUGAGCCUCUGAUUAAUUCAACUUAUGAUUCCUUGGAAAUCUUCUCUAGAGACAAUGCUGAAGAUUUCUACACGUGAUCUAUCUUCUUCAUGGCUGUGUAGCACUCGGUGCUGGAAUUGGGUAAGAAAUGUUACAACAGAUCCUAGUACUCUGUAGCAGGGAUGUUAGGUAACAAAAUAUUGCACAGUGCUGUGUGAAAAACUCUUUGAUUAAUUGAAGGCGUGGGUGGCUAUGCAGUUGCAUCAAAUUAUCCAUGCGCCAUGGCAAAAUGCGAGAUAAAUGCAUCGAUUUCUUAUUCCAAGGACAUGGUCAAACAACCAGUGCUGAACCUGGAGAGAGCUGCCAACCUGAAGGUGAACACAGGUAGUUUCAUGGAAGUGUUUUUUAUAGAAACAAAAGCUGAUGGGUCACCUCCAGCACAAGGUGCCUACAAGAUGCUACAAUACCCAUGUAUCUGAAGCCCAGCCCCAGUCCAGCACCCUUUCCCCAGGGCAGUAUUUGGCCCUCUGAAGGCCGAUGCAGAGCUCCUGUGUGCUGAGCAAACACCGAGCCCUGAGCACAGGUGUGUGUCAGCUGAUCCCUUCUCUUCUGGCAUUUAGGCUCUGGCCUGAGCCCCAACCCCACAACAUCCUUUGAAAGCCCUGAGCAGCAUUUCUAUCUUAUAGAGAAGCAGCCUGGGGUGGUGCCUGCCUCUGAGAGUGACAGCUGGAGGACACAGACUUUGCUCUUUGCUCUCCUUGUAGAAGUUUUCUUCUAGCUUUAAGUGCUAUGGGUAGCAACACAGUUACUUCUAUUAUAGUUUAUAAUCUAGCCUUAAUUUCUGCUUAAUUAGUGACUUGAACAGAAGGAAGGAGUGUUUAAGAGCUAUCAGCGGGCAGGGAGGUUAAAGGCUCAUGGUAAAGACACAUGCAACAAAACCCCACACAAACUUAAUUUGCACAACUCUAACAGGAGUGACUCAACUUGCCCCAAAGAAGGGAUGGCUGAACAUGUUCCACCUGGUCCUGAACCUUAUCAUUUCACCCAAGGGUAAAAUAUUAGCAAGGAGGCAUUAAGGCGAGUACAGUAUUGCCAGGCCAUGAGCAGCAGCUGUCUCAGAUUAUUUCAGCCUUGCCUUGCAGGUGAGGAAAUCGGACAUGACUGAGAGCCCUGUCAGGGAUGCCAGCAGCCACUGAAGGUGGGCAGGUCAGGAGGUGAAGGCAGAGGCACUCCGUGUCCCACAGAGGCUGUGACCAGCUGCUGUCUGGAGGGAUCUGAGGGACAGAGAGAGCAGGCUGAAAUUUAUAUAUAUAUAUAUAUAUAUAUAUAUAUAUUGUUUUUAAUUAUUAUUAUUAUUUUUCUGUUCCCAUGGUUUGUGUCCCCAUGGUCAGGAAGCAGAAGAGUUACUGUAGCAUUUAAUGGGAGAUGAAGCCCAGCCAGGCAGUCUGGCUGGGAAGACAUGAAGCACAAACAGCAGUGCUUGACUCUUUUUCACAUCAUCAGGAGGAGCAGAGUAGGGCCUUCCUUCUGCUCCAUUUGAUGUGAAGUGAUGCUGGGCCCAAGGAGUAUUCUGGUUAACCCUUGCAUGCCUGGUUAACCCAGGGCAUCUGGAACAUUGCUGAAAAUGCUCUCGUCUGGUUGAGACAGCCAAAUCAGUGACAGCCAGGCCAGUAAGGCUGCAGAAAAGGGUCCCCAAGACCGAUAUCUAUACUAAUGCAGGCAAAUUUCCUAAGCUUGACUUUCUUCCCGUUCAUGCUGCUUUAGCUGGUUGUGAGCACUCCCAUUGCAAGUGAGAGAAGAGCAAUGCUGACCAGGGUGGCUGGGCAUGACAUGGAGCGAGAAGGUCUGGGUGAUGCAUGUAUCCCUGUUUAUAUCAAGUGUGUCUGCAAGGCAGAGCUGCCUUUGGAUUACCAUGGCCCAGCAGCAUGGUGAAUAAUGACUUGCAGAGCUGCUGAGUAAGGGGAAAUCAAAGAGUCCUGUUGAGUUUUCCCAAAAACUAGAAGGUAUUUAGGAGAAAUCAGCAGCAGCUGUGUCUGCCCUUGGGAAGAGUGGAAGUGCUGGCAGCGAGAUGCAAUUUACACUUUGAAGGCAGCAGGGGAGAGCCCAAGGCAGUGUCGGGGGUGUGAUGUGCAGCACUUGUGUCUCCCAUGUGUGUGGAGCUCCGUGGUGUUCACAGCUUGGGCAAAGAGGCGCUGAGGGAUGGCAGCUCUUCUGCAGAGCCUGGAGCAUGAGCUACCCAUCAGGAUCUUCUGACCUGGAAAUUUUGCUUCUAGGCUCAUCACGAGAAGAGGUAUUUGUUAUCUUUUGUCUGGUGGCGCCAGUGGUUGAGCAAGAGGAGCAGGAGGCCCGCUGCUGGCAUCUGUAUUCGUGCCAUCCAGAGCUCCCACCUAUUCCUGCUGGGUGGAGGACUCGCAGUCUUGGUAAUGUUCCUGACAUGGCAUACCUCACCUUUUGUUUCAGUGUAAUUAGUCUGAAAAGGGAGAAAGGAUGUAACAUCCUCCACCUCAAGGGGAACCGCUAAAGAUUCGUUAUGCUCCCAGAGCAAAUGUGAUUUGUAGAUUUGGCCUGAUUCCCCCCAAGCAGCGAUGCCAGCAGCUCCAGCCAGCACAACUGGUCCCUGCAGCUCUCGCAGUGGGCAGGCGUGCCAGCAGUUCUCAGCCACGCAGCCCUCACGGUCAGGCUGCCUACAGGAUGCUGGCAGGGUGUGGGUUGUGACUGCUGGGUCAGUGCUGCAGCUCCUGAUAUAGAUGUUCAAGCAAACAGGGAGCAGCGUGCAUGGUGCCGACUGAGCAGGGUAGGCUGUGUGCUCAUCAGCCAGGCUUCCUCAGUGCCUGUGUUUGGUGGGAGUACAUCUGCUUUCCCCCCAGUCUCUCAGGUGGCUCCAGAGGGGUGGGCAAGCCCAAGCUGCCAGGAAUGUUUGGUGGCAGCACCAUGGGCUUGUAGCUGGCAGUUUGCUGGGUGCAGGAGAGCAUGACAUAUUGGUGUCCCAUGGCUGAGCUUUUGGAAGAUACAUGUCAACAUCAUUCUCUUCAUAGCCAUGAGUGAGAUGGGGAAAAAAAAACCCUGGUCUUGCUUUGCUUUUAAAGGUUCUAUAACGGCCAGGUGAGUCACCUAGGGAAGCACAGGGCACAACCAGGCUUGGGAGAAAGUCCCUAUGUCCUUUUUCCUGUCCUCCAGAGUCACCCUCGGGGCCAUAUUUCCAUGUGGGGAUGGUUAUUCUGAAAGUAUUUGCUCAGAGCACCUCAGGGUGUCAACUGCACAUGGCUCAGGGCUUUCCCUGGGGACCUUUGGUGACAAAUCCCUUCCCUGCAGCUGUAUGAAAUGAGGCCAGGCUACGAGGCCAGGAUUUUCAGUGAUCACCCCAUGGUUGGUGAGGAACUCAUAGCCUGCCCCAUCCUCUCCCAGUGCCGCAGGCUGCCCCUAUUAAAGGCUUCAUUUUUCCUUUGAGCUGUUGGUCGAAGCAAGGAAGGAUGGCUUUGCACUAGAGCUGUUUCCAGUGUGCUCAACUGGAAAGGGACAUUUAAAAAAUGCCGUGUGAGGUGGCUGAGGGCUUUCCCCACUCAGCCAGUGAGCCUGUCCCCCUGCACCCAGCUUCUCUGCUUGGAGGAGCCGGGCUGUGGCCCCGCCGCUGUAGGCAGGUAACUGUCACAGAGAAGAUAGACAUGAAACUACUCAGCUCCUUCUGCCUCACCCAGGGCCAGAAGGGUUUUCUGAGAACAAAAAUAAAGGAGAAAAUUCAGUCUCCACCCAUCCACCCAAUUUGGCCGGCAAAUCAAAUAAAACAAUCUUGAAGCUGGCACCACCAGGGCGGUGAAUGCCAGCUCCCAGCCUCUCACAUGAGGUUUUGAAACGAAAGGAGAUGAACAAACAACCCCCAGGUGCCUGGAGGCAGCAAACUGGUUUUAAGAUGCUGGUGGGUUGUUAUUUUUUGUUGUUUUAUUUUGUUUUUUUCCCACGUGGUGGUAGGACCAGCCCCCUACAAUCCUCCUGGGACUGGGCAGCCACCCCCCCUCCAUGGCUCUUGGCCACCCUGGGCCAUGGGCACACGGUGAUGGGGUUCCAUAAGAAGGGCUUCAUGCAGAUAUGCAUGUCAACACAGAGGGUUUUCAUGAGCAUUCUGGUGUGGGGCGAUAUGUCCAGUGACUAACAACACUGUGAAGGGGAUGUUAGGCUCGGGUAUCACCUCAGGUGUGCCUAGCCACUGCAGAUAGCCCUGCAGGGAUUAACCUGGUGCCAAGAUACCCCACAGCAGCUGAAGCCCCUGUCCUGGAUGGGCACACUUGGCCUGUGCGUGUCUGGUUACCACAAUUAAUAUGAGGCUUUAAAAAUGCAGAGCAUUUGUUCCAGUAGUUUUCUAGCCAAAACUGUCCUGCUAGAGGUGGCUCAAGGUUUGCCCUGAACAGGCUUGUCACAGGUGAGACAGAAAUCCUUGCAAAAUUUACCUGGGGGUCCCAUUCUCCUUUUUAUGAUGGGGAUGGGGGAACAUAGGAGACUUUCUUCUCCAGCUUUGCUACAGUCCAGUUAAAGCAGCGUGAGCAGCUGGGAGGUGCUUUGCAGGGCACUCACACCUCUUUCCAACUUCUCUUUCAUUGCAGUCAAACCAACCAGGUUCAUUUCUUGCACUGGAGCUGCCCAAAGCACAUUGGUGGCAAACAGAGGACUUGGGUCUCACCAACAAAGCACAGACCAGCCUUUAGCCCAGCACUUUCAGCCACCAUUGGGGUGCAAGGAGGGUAUAAUGAUGCUGGGCUGUGCUGGGAGAUCACCUGGGCCAGUCCAAUACAAACUGUUUCCCCCAACCUUGGGAGCAAAGCUACCCUAAGCACAUUGCAAAAAAAAAAAAAAGCCAUAUGUGGUAAAAGGGGUGUUUUUUCUGGUGUUUUUCCCCAUGUGCCCAAGACAUUUGGCUUGCAUUUGAGGUAGUGCAGGAGCUGCUUAUCGGCUCAGCCCAUCAUGGCAGCAGUCUGAUGGUGCCGCUACCAUCUCUGCUGUUAAUCUCAUUACAAAUAAAGGAGGGGUAGAAGCUAAACUGAGCUCAUACUAAUUCCCCCUGCCCUGCCCUGCUCAACCUCAGGAAAUACCUUCUGGAACUGCCAUUCUCAUCAUCCAAACCACCCCUGGAAAUGAUCAUUAGCUGAUUUGCUCCUUUGCCAAGCGUGUCCACUCGCCAGCCCGCCUCCGUUUGCCCACGGGGCCCUGGCGUUGCCUGCUCCUGCCGCGGCAUGCACUGUGGUUGCCUGCACCCGCAUUCCCCUGCCACAGCCUCGCAUGCAGACCCCCAGCCAGAUCGAGGCCGAACCCCACUCCCCCGGGGCUCACCGGGGCUUUACCUUGCCCCAGAAACAAGGUGAGGGUGGCCAGGCAGCUCCCCGAGGUGCUGGUUUUGCUUUCUCAAGCUCCUGUGGUGUGCUGGACUUCUUUUUGGCAGGGUUGGAUGGUGGCCGAGAAAUUGGGACAUGUUGACAUUUGUGAUUUUUUUUUUUUUUAAUAAUAAAGUUUUGCUAAAUGAGAAGGAAAAAACUGAGUGCCAGCUUUCACCGUGUGUUUAAAACAAGAUAGAAGUAAUACUGGCUAGGCAUGGCUGUGACAUCUACUAGACCUGCGGAGACAGAAGUUUGCUGGUGCACUGUGUGAUCUGGGGACAGACAAGUGACCCGCACACGCCACGCUGUGCCAUGGGAGGAUAUUGGGGGGCCCUGAUGUUCUCAGUGACAUCUAUUGCACCUCUCCAUUUGGGUCCCCCAGGCCCAAAGUGAAGGCAGGGUUGUGCCUGGGGUGGACAACGGUGCAGGACCUGGCCUCGUGCAGGGCUGCACUCUCUUGGUUUUCGGGUGUCAUUGGCACCAAGGCACCUUAUACACUGGGUUUAGGUGUCUGCUGUGGAAAUGGGGUGGUGGGAGCAGACAUGCACAUAUAUAUGUGCCUAUCCACAGCUGGGGAAGAGCACAAUGUCAUGGGAUGUGGCCAAGGUCAUACUCCGAUGUACAGACAAGCAGCAACAUCUCUCUCAGGAAAAGGUGGCUCUUCUGGCGGGUGUGGGCGCAGGAGCAGUUGGGGAAACAAAAGACAUGCAUGCUUCUUUCCUUUUUUAAUAUAGUUCUUCCCCAAAGCGGGACUAGCCCAUUUUUACCUCACUGCCAGCUGUUUUGUUCUUUUUUCCCCUAGGCUGGGAAAGGGUGUAGACAGGAGGAAACAACCUUUUUUUUUUUUUUUUUAAUGACAGUUUUUCAUGGGAAGAUGUUUGGCUGCCUGUGAAUACUCAGGUUAGCUCUGGCCAGACUUAACCAGGAGGGAUGAGCAGUGCUCAGUGCAAACUCCAUCUCCUUCCUCUUUCCCUUGGCCAAGUUGCUGCAGCAUGUAGGCAGAGAGCAGCUGUAAUGCAAAGGUGACAAACCAGUCCAGGCUCUGCUCUAAUAAAUAAGGGACACACAGAAGGUCCAGACACACUGUAUUUUAUUAGCUCAUCAUGCCCCAGCUUGGAAUCCAUGGGCGUUAGUUAUCAGCCAGUCGAGCUGCUGCGUACUGACUUGUCCAUGUGGCUCUAGGCCUCCACAGCCAUACUGGUGAGGUACAGUUGCUUAAAAUUAACAUCUCAAAAACUCUUACAGGCUAAUGCCUAUGGGCAUGUUCAGCAUUUAUCAGACUUUGUGACCACUGCAUGUAAAGACCUUUAGGUAUUUCAGCCUUGACUGUGGAUUUAGGAAUUUGUAAAUACCCACGAGUCUUAUCAAGUUGGUGCAAAAGGAAUUGUGCUUUUUGCAUUUUUUUUUUUUAAAUUUGCCAUUUGAUAUUGGAAUAUAUUCUUAAAUAAUAUGGUUAUGUAAUAUAUUCUUAAAUAAUGUGGUUAUGUUAUACACUAUUUGAAUGCACUUUUCUCAAUUUAUGUUUAUUUCGCUCAUGACAUUACUUGCUAUUUAUUUUUAAUAUUUAUUUUAGACUAUGUAAAUUAUAUUAGACAAAAAGCAAAUUUGAGCAGUUCUAUUUUUUGAAUUCAAAAUAUGUCGUAAAGCAGCAGGGACAAUUCGCGACAUCAAAAAUGCAUUUGACCCAGGAACUGCUCACAAACAUGCAGUGCAGUGGUGGUUCAAAAAGUUUCACAAAGGAGAUGAGAGCCUGGAAGAUGAAGGGCAUAACAGCUGGCAAUCAGAAGGUGACAAUGACCAGCUGAAAGCAAUCAUCGAAACUCAUCUUCUUACAACUACACAAGGUCAUCUAACUGGUGGUCUGCUGCCAGUCCGCUACAGCCUUCUGAAUCCCGACAAAAAACAUUCCAUCUGAGAAGGAUGCUCAGCAAAUGGAUGAGAUGCACCAAAAACUGCAACAUCCACAACCAGCAUCAAUCAACAGAAAGGGCCCAAUUCUUCUCCAUGACAAUGCCCGACCACACGUUGGAGAACCAACUAUGGGAAUAAAUCAACUUAUUUCUCGUUGGCAAAAAUGUGUUGACUGUAAUGGUUCCUAUUUUGAUUAAUAAAGAUGUGUUUGAGCCU